rnacentral:rRNA from 1 species
AUUGAACGCUGGCGGCAGGCCUAACACAUGCAAGUCGAACGAGGGGCGGACGGGAGAGAAAUGUCUGGAACACUGCCUGGUGGAGGGGUAUCUCUUCUGGAAACGGUAGCUAAUACCGUAUACUCUCAGUUGUGCCCAGAGGGGACUAGCUUGUGGGUGGGGUAACGGCUCACCAAGGCGACGAUCCAUCGCGGGUCUGAGAGGAUGACCAUCCACACUGGAACUGAGACACAGUCCAGAAUCCUACGGGAGGCAGCAGUGGGGAAUAUUGCACAAAGGGCGCAAGCCUGAUGCAGCCAGGCCGCGUGUAUGAAGAAGGCCUUCGGGUUGUGAAGUACUUUCAGCGGGAAGGCGUUGCCCGCAGAAGAGGCACCGGCUAACUCCGUGCCAGCCGCCGCGGUGAUUC